rnacentral:snRNA from 1 species
AUGUAAGGGCAAUCUGGCUGUGACAUCUGUCAUUCCAUUGAUGACAAGGUUUGAUUUGGCUGAUAUGUCUGGCUAGGCGGGUGUCUCCUUCCCUCAUUGCU